UUUGCAUUCGAUUCCGAUUCUGAAUACUUUUGAGACUGGAAUCGAUGGAAUCGAAUACCGAUUCUGCAUCUGCGCAUGCGCAAUGCCACGUGGUCAAUAAAAAAUUCAAUAGAGUAAUUGGACUGGAGUAUUCCAUAAUAAAAUGGUGGGUGCCGGGGUGUGAAGGACUGGACGCAUUGUAACAAUUGCUACACUGAAUAGAAGAAACACCCAGUUCAUUAUAACGUCGUGUGGUCAUUUAUUCUGUGGGAAAUCCUAUGGUGAGAGAGAGAAGUUCUGUCUCGUAUGUAAGGCAGUGUGUAAUUCAGUUCUUGAUCUGUCAAAAGAAGCUCCACCAUAUGUCACGAUAUAUUUCAAGACUCCUUAGUCCAUUAUACAGGAAUUCGUCCUAAAUUUUGAACGAGUCGCUAGGUUUCAAAAGGAGCAUAGGACUAGAUUAGUAAAGCACAAACUACAGAAAUUGCAGAAUCUUGCUGCUAGAAAAGAAAGGAAAUACUGUUAUUUGAAAAGUAACUUAUUGAUGGGGUAUUUUAUUUUAUUUUAUUUAUU